CACCCUCACUCGAGAGGGAGAGACAAAGUACAAACAAACUCUCCCAGCACCGUCGCCCGCACACCGAGAUCGCUCGCAAAUACCGACAGGGCAGCGCUUUCCGCGACUGUCCCGCGGCUUCCGCUGCCGGAGGACGUUGCGGUAGGAAGAACGCGCCCCAUGGGCGCUCCCGCCUCCCCUAUUCCACCGUGGAGUGGUUUGGCCCGGAGGAGGUUUCCCGCCGGUGAUGUCAGCAAGGGGCGCCCUUUGAUCCCACGGACGUCAAAGCACAGUGGCCGCCCAGCCCCACCGGGAAUUGCGGGCUCGGCACACGUGCGAGCCCAUAUGCAGCCGCACAGGUCUUUGUACCGCUAGAGAGAGGCACUGGGCUGCCUCGCUGAGACGCGCCCCUCGCCCUCCCCACAGGCGCCACGUCCUCAGGACCACGUCGAGAGGACAUUACCCCAGCGCAGCAUCCCACACGUGCCAUCCCCAGUGGGAGGAGCUUGCGAGGCGCUGGACUGGAGGGAGAGCAAUGGAGCAAUCCCCGAUAAGGGGGUCUGGGUCCCAAAGCAGGGAGCUGGGGGUGUCUCUGCUGGGUGCUCUUGUUUCUUGUUCCCCCUGCUUCCCGUGUCCUCUUCUCUCCAUUGGCUUGUGUCAGGCCAGAGAGGCCAAGGGCAGCUCGAAAUUCCUGUGCUGAAGGUGUCUACAGCUAGUCUGAACAGGCUUCCUUCUGAAAAGGAGCAACCAGUGAACCCGUGAAUGUCUGCUGGAGUUGCAGAGACAGGAUCCCUGCUUUGUCUUGCACAUCCAUUCCCACACCUGAUUGCCUGGAGCUCUGAGAGAAGGUAAUGAGCAAGCUGAUACACCAGCCAUGACAGUGCAGGCUCGUCCAGGAUAUUUCCACCAUCCGGGGCGGCGGGCAGCAAGCAGAGCUGAAGGUGCGCCUCACCCAGUUUCGGUGAUCAGCUCCCCUUGGUGGCAGCUGGCACCGGGCGAUCGAUUGGGUUCCCGAGACUGUCCAAGGAGACAGACGAGUGGCGGACCAGGGGGGUCCGUGAAGAGUCCACAGGGAAGGACCACUGAAAACCUCACCGGUGAGUAAAAUGGGAUCUUUGGGGAGGAAGCCUGGGAGGGCACCCAUGGAGGGUAGCACAGGCUAAACAGGGUACCCAGGGAGGGUUGCAAGGGUACAGCUGGGAAAGGGUCUCUGCAAAAGGGAUGACGAUCCCAUUAAUACCCCCGGAGAGUCCCUUGUGGGAGAAUGCUGAGAUCUUGAGACAGAUUAUGCAUUCACACAGAAAUAACUAUGGAGAUGGUGGUAAAAUAUUGUUAUUAUGUAUGGCCAGAGUGUAAGUUGCCAAAUGGACUUAUAUGGCCACCUUAGAAAACAGAAUUUAUUUGUGUUGAGUUCUGUGAAGUUAUCUAGAGGAGAAUUGGAAAAGAUGGAUUGAAAGGGAAUGUGGAUUGAUAUGGUUUAAACAAACAAGAGAAAUCUAUGUGUUAAGAAAAAAAAGAAGAGGAAAAAUGGGGGGGAAGAAGAAAACAGUGAAGAUUAAAAUGUUUUUCAGCACCUUCCCCCAUCUUGUCCUCUGGUGUUACCAGCUGACUCAAGGCCAGCUGCAGGUCCCUGUAUCCUUGUUGGAGUCUGAGAUACAGUGUGUAUGCCCUUGUUUUUAAUAUUUAGUUCUAGAAUUC